GGGGUAGUGAACUUGGCUCAAUUGCAAGUUUGCCACUCCAUUGUGAGGUGGUAUAAAGGGAACUUUAUAGCCAUUUCAUCCUUAGGGUUUCUUUUGGAGAAAAGAUGAGAACACAAUGUCUCUCCCUUUCUCUCUAGGAGGCUGGCCCCCAUGGAGGAGAUUAGCUAGCAAUCUUCCCUCCUCCAAGGUCACUCAUCUCUUCUUCGAGUCUCUCCUUGGUGUGGAAAAAUUAGAGGUUCUCAACUUUGGGAACUUGGAGAAUCCUUUCAACCAUCCUCAUCCAAGAAAUCCAUGGAGCUAAGAAGCAAGGAAUGAAUGCCCUCUCCUUGGGUGAUUAGCCUUUGCUUAUGGAAAGAGGAAUCAACAAAGGUAUAAGAUUUCUCAACUCACUUUGUUCUUGAGUUGAGUCUUGGUUCACCCUUCUACUAGGCUUUGAAUUUCAUGGGUAAUGUUUUGUUUUGAGUGCAUAGAAGCAUGAUUCUGCCUUUAAUUGUUAAUUGCAUGCCAUUGAUGUUGCUCAAAUGAACAUGUUUUUCACAAAAUUUCCUUCAAGUGGUAUCAGAGCCUAGGUCUAGUAGUUGGUGAAUCCUUUGGGGUUUUGUAUUUUCAUAGUUUAUGAUUUCAAUGUUGUAAUUGUUACAAGCUUUAUUCUUGCUUCUUUGAAUGUAAAUUUUGUUAGAAAAUUUGCCAUCUCAAAUGUUGUAGAUGUAGUCAUAUGAGCAUGAAUUUUGGAGCUAAAAUUUGGUGCCAUGUUUUUGGGGAAAUUCGGCCAAAUCCAAAGGGUGGAUUUUUGGGUUCAUGUUUGUCUUGUUAAAAGUGUUUUAAAGUGACAUUAGGAACCCCUAAGUACCCUAGUAUGGUAAUAUUUUUUUUCCCUUAAGUUUGAGAGUUUUUGGGGUGUCUUUGGGUGAAAAAUGUUCAUGGAGCUCUUAUGGGUUUUCAUGGAUGUUCUUCAUUGUUCUCGUUAUGUUCUAACCAAGAACACAAAGGUUUGGUGUUUUGAUUCAAAGUGUUUGAUGUUUUUCAUAAAGUUUUGUUUAUGGUGGUUGGUGUGACUUUAUUGUAAUAAAUGGUAUGACAUGAUUUGUCCUUUUUCAAUCAACACCAUACCAAUCACUUACACAUUUUCCUUGUUUCAAGGAACCAUGUUUUAUGAAAAUCACUUUUUCAAACCUACCCAUCACCUUUCACUUUUGUUGAAAAAUUCAAAAGUUUUAUGACACCAUCUCUCAUCCAAAAUCGGCCACCCUAUUAAAUAGGGUACUUUUGGGGUUUUUAUGCAAUUACAUAAAGCUUUAAUACUUUUGUGUAUUUGUACUUUGACCCGAAAGUUUACGUUUUAACGUAAAGGCCCAAAAUCACUAAAGGACAAAAUGUUUUGCUCGUUUAAUGAAGAUUUUGUAUUUUGAUGAAAUUUUUGGGUUCUAGUUGUAAUUACAUGAAGUAGUGGACUUUUGUGUUUUUACAAAGGGACCUCAAAAGUUUAUGUUUUGCAAUAUAGCCCAAUGGUUGAGGUUAUUGCUUUUCGGCCCAAAUUAGUUGAGAACAAAAUAGUUUUGUAUCUUUAAAUAAGAAUUGGAUUUUCAUUUCAUUUAGCUCCAUUUAAAUCAAUUCUAUGGAAACAAAAACCAAAUGAAAGUGUUGCAUUCAAGUUUAAUUAGUUAAAGCGUUAAUUAAUUAAAGAAAGGGUGAUAUGAACCUAAGCUUAUGAUAAUUGAGCUAUGUGAAAGGCUGUCUCAAAUUUGUUUGAACCAUGGGAAUGUGUAGAUUAGAUUUUGGUUGUAAUUUGAUAUGAUCAAAUAUUGUAAAAGAGCGUAAGCUCUUCUUUACUUUAAAGUAAUUUGUUUUGAUCAAAUGUUGUAAAAGAGCAUAAGCUCUUCUUUACUUUG
rnacentral:lncRNA from 1 species